rnacentral:rRNA from 1 species
GACGAACGCUGGCGGCGUGCUUAACACAUGCAAGUCGAACGGUGACGAGGAGCUUGCUCCUCUGAUCAGUGGCGAACGGGUGAGUAACACGUGAGCAACCUGCCCCAGACUCUGGGAUAACAGUUGGAAACAGCUGCUAAUACCGGAUACGAGACGGAGAGGCAUCUCUACCGUCUAGAAAGUUUUUCGGUCUGGGAUGGACUCGCGGCCUAUCAGCUAGUUGGUGAGGUAAUGGCUCACCAAGGCGACGACGGGUAGCCGGCCUGAGAGGGCGACCGGCCAACGACUGGGACUGAGACACGGCCCAGACUCCUACGGGAGGCAGCAGUGGGGAAUAUUGCACAAUGGGCGAAAGCCUGAUGCAGCGACGCCGCGUGAGGGAUGAAGGCCUCGGUGUAACUACUUCUGCAGGAAGAAGCGAAAGUGACGGUACCUGCAGAAGAAGACACCGGCUAACUAACGUGCCAGCAGCCGCGGUAAAACGGUCUA